rnacentral:rRNA from 1 species
CAGCUACUAGAAGGUUCGAUUAGUCUUUCGCCCCCAUGCGCAUAUUUGACGAUCGAUUUGCACGUCAGAACCGCUGCGAGCCUCCACCAGAGUUUCCUCUGGCUUCACCCUAUACACGCAUAGUUCACCUUCUUUCGGGUCCAACCCUAUAUGCUCUUACUCAAAUCCAUCCGAGAACAUCAGGAUCGGUCGAUGAUGCGCCGAAGCUCUCACCUGCGUUCACUUUCAUUACGCGUAGGGGUUUGACACCCGAACACUCGCACAUAAGGUUGACUCCUUGGUCCGUGUUUCAAGACGGGUCGCUGAUGACCAUUAUGCCAGCAUCCUUGCGGAGGCGCUACCUCAGCCCGCCGAAGGGUAUUGUGCAACAGGCUAUAACACUCCCCGAAGAGAGCUACGUUCCUGAAGCUUUUGUCCCCGACAGCGAGCUGAUGCUGGCCUGAGCCGGCGAAGUGCNCCAGCCGCGAGAGCUGGGUGAUUCACCGGACGCAAGUCUGGUCACAAGCGCUUCCCUUUUAACAAUUUCACGUGCUGUUUAACCCUCUUUUCAAAGUGCUUUUCAUCUUUCGAUCACUCUACUUGUGCGCUAUCGGUCUCUGGCCGGUAUUUAGCUUUAGAAAAAAUAUACCUCCCAUUUUGAGCAGCAUUCCCAAACUACUCGACUCGUCGAAGGAGCUUUACAAAGGCUUGGUGUCCAACUGUACGGGGCUCUCACCCUCUCUGGCGUCCCGUUCUAGGGAACUUGGAAGGCACCGCANCAAAANCAACCUCUACAAAUUACAANUCGGCCUAGGGNNCCAGAUANCAAAUUUGAGCUGUUGCGCUUCACUCGCCGUUACUGAGGCAAUCCCUGUUGGUUUCUUUUCCUCCGCUUAUUGAUA